UACAGAGGGUGCAAGCGUUGUUCGGAAUUAUUGGGCGUAAAGCGCGUGUAGGCGGCUUUGCAAGUCGGGUGUGAAAGCCCUCAGCUCAACUGAGGAAGUGCGCCCGAAACUGCAGAGCUUGAGUGCCGGAGAGGGUGGCGGAAUUCCCCAAGUAGAGGUGAAAUUCGUAGAUAUCGAGAGGAACACCUGCGGCGAAGGCGGGUUGCUGGGCUGACACUGACGCUGAGGCGCGAAAGCUAGGGGAGCGAACGGG
rnacentral:rRNA from 1 species